rnacentral:lncRNA from 1 species
CCUGCACAAAGAUAAAGGUCAACUCUAAAUCUGAUUUUUAUUUUCAGCAUCUUAAUUUUAGCAUGUGAAUAUUCCUAGCAUGUGUAGAUUAGAUUUAUAUUUUAUACGUGUUAGAUUUGAAAUUAUUUAAAUUUAGGUCAGUUUCAAUUUUUGCUGCAUUCAUGAUUUUUAAAAGUUAAAAAAUUGUAUGUUUUGAUCUUUGCAUGCAUAUCCUGAAUAUGCGAUAUCCUUCAACUAUCUCACGUCUGCGAAUGCGGAGGUAUAAGCCAACCAUCCGAACCAUUCGGCCUCUUGACCCA